UUUUCUUCUCCUACGACCAGCAACAAGCGGCGCUCCACUCCUCCUUGUCAACAAGCGGCGCUCCACUCCUUGUCCUCCGUUUGAUCCUAGCUGCCGCUGUCGUUUCGUCGCGUCUAUAGCCACCGGCAAAUGGCCUAUCAAGUUCAUAGAUCCAUCUAGUUUUGUCCAACUUUUACUUUUUACAUCUUAUGUCUUUGUACUUUUUGAUUCUUCUCAAUUUGGUGCAAACUCUAUAAACCUUUAAUUUCUUCCUCAAAUUUGGCCCCAACUUCUAGAUGCGAACUUCAGCCCCCAAAAUAUGUAAAUAUUUAUAAAAAUGCAAUAUGAACACCUAAAUGACUUAAAUGAAC
rnacentral:lncRNA from 1 species